rnacentral:rRNA from 1 species
CCUUUGUUGCCAGCGAUCCGGCCGGGAACUCAAAGGAGACUGCCAGUGAUAAACUGGAGGAAGGUGGGGAUGACGUCAAGUCAUCAUGGCCCUUACGACCAGGGCUACACACGUGCUACAAUGGCGCAUACAAAGAGAAGCGACCUCGCGAGAGCAAGCGGACCUCAUAAAGUGCGUCGUAGUCCGGAUUGGAGUCUGCAACUCGACUCCAUGAAGUCGGAAUCGCUAGUAAUCGUGGAUCAGAAUGCCACGGUGAAUACGUUCCCGGGCCUU